rnacentral:SRP_RNA from 1 species
UGAGGUGCUGGAGCUGCUCAGUAGGGCCAAGAGAGUCGCACAGCGCAAGCGAGAGAGGGAGCAGGCCAAAGAUCCCGAGCCCCUUCAG